GAUGAACGCUGGCGGCGUGCCUAAUACAUGCAAGUAGAACGCUGAAGGAAGGAGCUUGCUCUUUCCGGAUGAGUUGCGAACGGGUGAGUAACGCGUAGGUAACCUGCCUGGUAGCGGGGGAUAACUAUUGGAAACGAUAGCUAAUACCGCAUAACAGUAGAUGUUGCAUGAUAUCUACUUAAAAGGUGCAAUUGCACCACUACCAGAUGGACCUGCGUUGUAUUAGCUAGUUGGUGAGGUAACGGCUCACCAAGGCGACGAUACAUAGCCGACCUGAGAGGGUGAUCGGCCAAACUGGGACUUGGACACGGCCCAGACUCCUAAGGGAGGCAGCAGUAGGGAAUCUUCGGCAAUGGACGGAAGUCUGACCGAGCAACGCCGCGUGAGUGAAGGAGGUUUUCGGAUCGUAAAGCUCUGUUGUAAGAGAAGAACGAGUGUGAGAGUGGAAAGUUCACACUGUGACGGUAUCUUACCAGAAAGGGACGGCUAACUACGUG
rnacentral:rRNA from 1 species